rnacentral:rRNA from 1 species
GGAAUCUUGCACAAUGGAGGAAACUCUGAUGCAGCGACGCCGCGUGAGCGAUGAAGCCCUUCGGGGUGUAAAGCUCUUUCGACGGGAACGAUAAUGACGGUACCCGGAGAAGAAGCUGCGGCUAACUACGUGCCAGCAGCCGCGGUAAUACGUAGGCAGCAAGCGUUGUUCGGAAUUACUGGGCGUAAAUAGUGUGUAGGCGGUUCUCUAUGUUCGGUGUGAAAUCUCCCGGCUUAACUGGGAGGGUGCGCCGAAAACUGGAGGGCUUGAGUAUGGGAGAGGAAAGCGGAAUUCCUGGUGUAGCGGUGAAAUGCGUAGAUAUC